GCCUGUUACUGUGCUGUUUUGUAUUGUGUUGUUAUUUGAAUUGACUGAAGAAUGGUAACUGUGAUGCUGGGGACCCUCUGAGAAGGUGGAAAUGAAUUAUCUAAUUAACACUGCAACAAUCCUCAGCCAAAUGUUUCAGCCUUGUCUUUUGAAUUGAUGUGCUUGGUUGUCGCAUCAUUUGAGGAUGGGGGUAUUUAUGGAGUCUGCUCCUCCAGUGAAUUAUUUCAUUGCCCACCGCCAUUCAUGACUGGAUAUAGCAGGACUGUAGAGCCUAGAUCUUAGAUUUGCAGUUUUUAUUCAGUCAUACAGGGUUCAACCACAUCAUUCCGUAUUUCUACGUAAUUUACUUCAUUUGUCUGCUUAUUCACCGUGAAGCCAGGGAUGAGCGUCAGUGCAGGAAGAAGUAUGGUGUGGCUUGGAAUAAGUAUUGCCAGCAGGUCCGCUACCGAAUCUUCCCAUAUAUCUACUGAGCAAGUCUGUUUUACCCACUAGAUUACAUGCCUCUGCACAUUAUUGUCACUUGUGUUUUGAAGAAAAUGCAAGAUGAAUGUUAAUAUAUUCAUCCAAUUGUAAUCAUGAGGCUGGUUGGUUUUAAAAGUAUUUAUACGUUCUUCCGUUAUAACCCUGUCCCUCCCCCUUUUAUAAAAGAAAAACUUGAUUCAUAGUUAGCCACCUAUUUACAGCAGAACAAAGUAUGUAAUCUUCCAGUGGACAGAAUGCCCUGGCAGACUCUUUUAAAAUUUGAAAUAUAUUCCUUAUAGCUCAUUUUUCCUUAAUUUGAAGGAAGGGACAGGAUAGCUUGAGGGACAAAUAUUUUGUGCUGGUGUUACUAUUUAACUUUGGUAAAGACUGUGAACUCUAAACAUGGUUAAUUAUUUAAAGAUUUGGUAUGUCACUCACCACAGAAGGGUUCACUUCUCUCAGGUAUUCAUGAAAUAAGAGCUGAUUGUAUUGAGACCUGCUUUAAGAUGGUCAUAAAAUCAUCGUUCCUCACGGCAGAUUGCACUAUCUCUUGUGUUUAAACACAUCAGCUGUUUUAAAGAAAAUUUAAAUUUUUGCUUUUUCACUUUUUGAUUCUUCCUGUAUUUUAAUAAGGGGCAGGUCCUGCAUGAUGCAUGUUAUAAUUUUGAACCUUUAUUCACAUUGUCAUGAUUGACCUAGUGUGCAAAACAUUUUCAAAUUUCUCCUUCACCUGUUUUUAAAAAAAACUGUAAAGGUAACUACUGGAAUUAAUGGCCAUUUUCCAAAUCCUUAUCAUUUAUUAUGAAUACUUUGGCCAGUUGCUUUGGGUUGUAAUUUCAGUUUGAAGUUUUGUAUUCAUCCACCUUUUUAGAAAAUCAGGAUAGGGAACUGAAGAACUGUUACCUAACUGGCUACACAUAAAUGUGAAUGUUCUGAUCACCACUUCAGUUAUUCCUUUCUUCCCUAUCCAUUUUCCUUCAUUCUCUAUAUCUGCCCAUUCAUCUAUCCUGAAUUAUCAUACUCAGGUUAUUUGAUUAUGCGUAGUCCAAGUUCAGCCCAAAGGGAUUACCAGAUCUUUGUGAUGCUGCAUCAUGGGUUCUGUUUCCCUUCAUAUCUGUUUCCUACAGUAGUAUUUAAAGGAGAUCAUCAUCUGGGAGUAUAGAAUAAUUAUGAGCCUACCUGCAUUACCUGAAACCUUUAAAAUUCUGUAGGGUACUUUUCCUGAUAUGGUGACCUGUGCAGUUCUUGUACUGUAAGCCAUCUUUAGAACAGGGAUCCAAAUAUAUUUAGCCAACUCUAGGUUUCUUUGAAUGCCUUGCUGUUUUCUGGAAUCCUGGUUUGUGUCACUUUGCUAUUUUGUAUGAGUGAAGAAUAUACACUGGAAGGCUCAUGAUUUAUCCGUAACACUCUCAAUGAAGUCUUUUAAAAGAAGACAUUUUGUUCAUGGAUAUUGAAAAUUUUACUUAAAUAUUUACAGUGCUAUUAAUGAGCCAGAGAUUUGGUAACUAGAACGUUCACUUUUCCAGUGCUGGAAGCUCGAGGAUGGGUUAAAUCUUCAACCUCAUCAGAAACACUUAGUGCAGGAAAGUAAGUGGCAAAAUAAUGUAGAUGCUGGAAAUCUGAAACAAAUACCAAGAAAGCUGGAGAAAUGCAACAGGCCUGGCAGCAUCUGUGGACAGAAAAACACGAGUUGAUGUUUUGAGUCCAAUAUGUCACUCAGUGUUAAUUCUUUUCACAGAAGCUGCCAGACAUGCUGGGUUUCUUCAGCAUUCCUUGUGUUUAUUUGCCAAGGACAAGUGGGUGUAGCCACAAAGUUUUUGAUCCUGCUGUUUUAGGAAAUUGAGGUGGACCCCAUUUUCUCUACUAAUCCAUGGCAUAACAUGGACCAUUCAUUCUGAGCUGUCGUUUCCAAUACUUUGGCUUAGUUUUCUUGAAUCCUGUUUUUAUCUUCGAUUUGGAUUCCUUUAGGACAUAAAGAAUUUAUUUUUAAAGCUGGAAGAUGGCAUCUGAUUGAAAAGUCUAUUUUAAUAUUAGCUUGCUGCCUUCGUUGGAAUGUGAGGGGUUGUGUUUAUUGUUGAUAGAUGAAACCUCAACUGUGUAUUUUUCAGCAGGAGCUCCCCCAUAGCUUAAUUUUAUAUGACUACAGAAUGGAUCUGUAAUGAGAGGGGCAUUAUUUUGUUUUGACUUCUGGCUCUGCAAAGUAUCACACUAUUGUUUACGUUUGAUUUUUCACUCAUCAUAAAGCCAAUACCUUGACUGUAGUCCACCAAUCGGAAACCUAUGGUUCCAGAAUUAAAUAGAGAUGCUCUGAUUUUUGAGUAAUGUUGAGGAUGAAUACGAAGGGUGGGCUCCAGAUUCCAUGAAGCCACAACUUCCCUGGAGUGCAGGCAGUUAUUUUGUAGAAUUUGUGUUGGUUAUCCAGUUUGUGAGUUUUACCAGUAAAAUAAAACCAAUAGAAUGAAUUCUACCUUGCAUUCUCUUGCUGUCCAUUGAUUGUAAGUAAGGACAGGUUACAGAUGAAUUGCAGAUUUCUGCUGGUGCAAAUCUUAAUAUGAUGCAGAAAUUGGUGGGACGUCCAAAGAGAUCUUCCUGCACUUGGUUGUGGCAAACGGUCACAUCAGCAGGCAGCCUGUAUCCGAACCAUUUUUCAGAGUUGACUUUUAUUAAAUGUCCUACUGAUUGUGUAUUCCUAACCAUCGGUUUUAAUAAAUGACAUGGUGCACAACCUGAGUUUAAAAACGGGGGGGGGGGUGUGGAAAUAAGACCACAUAGUUACCAUAGCCUAAAGGAGUACAAGAUCUACAGGCUGUCUGUCACUUUGCCAGACUAACACAGACUCUCCCUAUGUAUAAGAUGUACAUGUUCUGAAUUUAUUUUUUGAUUUUAUUUUCUGUGCUGAAUUCUGGUAUCCUAAAAAUCAGACUUCCUUUUAUUAAAGGACAUUUUUGAUGUAUUCUUGAUUAUAAAUGUAGCUUUACUGACUAAAUAUUUUUUAUGUAUGAAAAGAAUUACAGUAUUUCAGAUGGAUUUAACUGACUUCAAUAUAAUCAAUUUAGUGUAACAUUCAUUGUCUAGCACUGCCAAGGAGGCAGCACUAUGGCUCAGUGGUUAGCACUUCUGCCUCACAUUGCCAGGGACUGGAUUCAAUUCCACCCUUUGGUAACUGUGUGGAGUUUGCAUGUUCCUCCUCAUAUCUGCAUGGGUGUUCUAGUUUCCUCCUAAUGACCAAAGAUGUGUGGGUUAGGUAGACUGGCUAUGCUAAACUGUCCAUAGUUUCCAGGAUUAUUGUAUUUGCCAUGGGAUGCAUGUCGGAGGGCUGGUAUGGGCCAAAUGGUCUGCUCCCACACUGCAGGGAUUGUGUGAUUUUUAUAAAAGAAUCCCUUCUGUGGUAUUCAGUGCCACAUGCUUUUAGAAAUCUGUGGCUCAUGAGUCUAUGUAAAAUGAAACUAAUUGUAUUAUGGGAUAGUAAUUAAAGUAGCCCCCUACUGUCCCUUCAAGAGCUCACCCUGUCUUGGCAUGCCCUUAUAUAAAAUAACCCUGGAUUCUGGAACAUUGUUUCAAACUGAUUUGAUUUGAGGCAUGAUGCUAAGCUUAGACGCUUCCUAAGCAUCAAUCUAUUAUCUGGAGCAAUUCACUGCACUUAACCCUAGACCUUGACCACAGCAGCUGAGUCAGUAAAAUAUCAGCAACAAAUCAAUGAAAUCAGAAGGCUUGUGACCAUCAAAGCUCUGGAAACAAUGUCAAAUAAGUAGAAAUAGGGUUGAUUUAAAUUCUGACAGUUCUUAAUUCUGACAGUUCUUCAGUCCCAUGCAUUGCUUUUGAGAAUAUGGGUGAACUUGCUAUUUUUUUUUUCUAUCUAGAAGGACUAUUUCACCAAUGUGAGAAAAAUGUCUUUUGUAGUUAUGAAUAGUUCCAGCUUAUGAUGUGAACUCAAGCUAAAAUUCUUUUUACUUCAGCACUGCAAUUUCAAUGAGCCUAGGAGUUCUGAGGCAAUAUUUGUAUAUAGCUUUGUUUUGAUGGGAACAAUUGUUGAACAUGGAUAGGAGAUAUUUUUUCAUGGUUGCUUAUGUAACAGUACCCAAGAUUUUAUUGCUUGCAAAAACAUGCACUGUACAAAUAAAGAAGUUACUUUUUAUAUUUUUUGACUGAAAUAAAGAUUUCCACUCAGG